rnacentral:rRNA from 1 species
AUGAACACGACGCGUGGCCACCGCAAUGGCGGCAGCUCCUUUCUCCUCGUCAUCAUGCUCGUCGCUGCGGCGGCCGACAUCGCGGCCGCGCAGCAGACCGGCCAGGGCCCAAGCUACUUCAACCCCCAGAACUUCAACCCGUCCAUGGCGGUCAUAAUCGUCGUGCUCGUCACCGCCUUCUUCUUCCUCGGGUUCUUCUCGAUCUACAUCCGGCGCUGCGCGGGCGGGCCGCUCGGCGGGCCCGGCGAGGACCUCAGCGUGCCCGGCGCCAGGCCGGGCGGCCUCACGUUCCUCACCGCCGCGCGGUCGAGGAGGAUGAGAGGGCUGGACCCCGCCGCGCUCGAGGCCCUCCCUACCAUGGCGUACGCCGACGUCAAGGAGCACAAGGUCGGCAAGGGCGAGCUGGAGUGCGCCGUGUGCCUCAGCGAGUUCGACGACGAUGACACGCUCCGACUCCUGCCCAAGUGCUCGCACGCGUUCCACGCGGACUGCAUCGACGCCUGGCUCGCGUCGCACGUCACCUGCCCGGUCUGCCGCGCGAACCUUGUCCCCGGCGCCGAUGCUCCGGCGGCGUCCGGUGCCGCUGCGUCGGCGAUGCCGGAGCCGGAUAUACUAGCCGCGACGUCGGUGCCGCAGCCGGCGCAGGAAACGACCACGGCGCCGCCAGAGCAAGUGACGGUAGUGAUCACCGAUGCUGCCGAGGAGACGGAGGAGGAGAGGGUCAGGAGGGAGGAGGCGGCCGAGCUGGUGCGCAUCGGCAGCGUGAAGCGCGCGCUGCGCAGCAAGUCCGGCCGGAGUCCCGCCGCGCAGUUCCCGCGCUCGCACACCACGGGGCACUCGCUCGCGGCAGCGCCGGCCGAGAGCGCGGAGCGGUACACGCUGAGGCUGCCGGAGCACGUCCUCCGGGAGGUCGUCGCGGCGGGCAAGCUGCGGCGCACGAAGAGCCUGCAAGCGUUUCGGGAAGACCGCGCCGGCGGGAGCACGCGCCGGGGCAGCAGGAGCGUCCGGCUCGGGCAGUCCGGCCGGUGGCCCGCCAUCACCAUGUCAUCGUUCUUGGGACUCUCGUUCUCGGCGUGGGGGUCGUCGCGGCGUGGCGAAGCCGACGCCGCCGGCAAAGGCGGCGCGAGGGGCGCCGGCGACGGCACAGCGGGCGCGGAACAGCAGCAGUGCGACGGCGGGGCGUGCCCACUUCCACUUGGCGGCCGCCGUGUUUGA